CGGAGGAGGCGAGGAGCGCCGGGUACCGGGCCGGGGGAGCCGCGGGCUCUCGGGGAAGAGACGGAUGAUGAACAAGCUUUACAUCGGGAACCUGAGCCCCGCCGUCACCGCCGACGACCUCCGCCAGCUCUUCGGGGACAGGAAGCUGCCCCUGGCGGGACAGGUCCUGCUCAAGUCCGGCUACGCCUUCGUGGACUACCCCGAUCAGAACUGGGCCAUCCGCGCCAUCGAGACCCUCUCGGGUAAAGUGGAAUUGCAUGGGAAAAUCAUGGAAGUUGAUUACUCAGUCUCUAAAAAGCUAAGGAGCAGGAAAAUUCAGAUUCGAAACAUCCCCCCUCACCUGCAGUGGGAGGUGUUAGAUGGACUUUUGGCUCAGUAUGGGACAGUGGAAAACGUGGAACAAGUCAACACAGACACAGAAACUGCCGUUGUCAAUGUCACGUAUGCAACAAGAGAAGAAGCAAAAAUAGCCGUGGAGAAGCUAAGCGGACAUCAGUUUGAGAACUACUCCUUCAAGAUUUCCUACAUCCCGGAUGAAGAGGUGAGCUCCCCUUCGCCCCCUCAGCGAGCCCAGCGUGGGGACCAUUCUUCCCGGGAGCAAGGCCAUGGGGGCUCUUCUCAGGCCAGACAGAUUGAUUUCCCGCUGCGGAUCCUGGUCCCCACCCAGUUUGUUGGUGCCAUCAUCGGAAAGGAGGGCUUGACCAUAAAGAACAUCACUAAGCAGACCCAGUCCCGGGUAGAUAUCCACAGAAAGGAGAACUCUGGGGCCGCAGAGAAGCCUGUUACCAUCCAUGCCACCCCUGAGGGAACCUCUGAAGCAUGUCGCAUGAUUCUUGAAAUCAUGCAGAAAGAGGCUGAUGAGACCAAACUAGCUGAAGAGAUUCCUCUGAAAAUUUUGGCCCAUAAUGGAUUGGUUGGAAGACUGAUUGGAAAAGAAGGCAGAAAUUUGAAGAAAAUUGAACAUGAAACAGGAACCAAGAUAACAAUCUCAUCUUUACAGGAUUUGAGCAUAUAUAACCCUGAAAGAACCAUCACUGUGAAAGGCACAGUUGAGGCCUGUGCCAAUGCCGAGAUAGAGAUUAUGAAGAAACUUCGUGAGGCCUUUGAAAAUGAUAUGCUGGCUGUUAACACCCACUCCGGAUACUUCUCCAGCCUGUACCCCCAUCACCAGUUCAGCCCGUUCCCACAUCAUCACUCUUAUCCAGAGCAGGAGAUCGUGAAUCUAUUCAUCCCAACCCAGGCUGUUGGUGCCAUCAUUGGGAAGAAAGGGGCGCACAUCAAACAGCUGGCAAGAUUCGCGGGAGCCUCCAUCAAGAUCGCCCCAGCAGAAGGCCCAGAUGUCAGCGAACGAAUGGUCAUCAUCACUGGGCCACCUGAAGCCCAGUUCAAGGCCCAGGGACGGAUCUUUGGGAAACUGAAAGAAGAAAACUUUUUUAACCCCAAAGAAGAAGUGAAGCUGGAAGCCCAUAUCAGAGUGCCAUCUUCCACAGCUGGCCGGGUGAUUGGCAAAGGUGGCAAAACCGUGAAUGAACUGCAGAACUUGACCAGCGCAGAAGUCAUCGUGCCUCGUGACCAGACACCCGAUGAAAACGAGGAAGUGAUCGUCAGAAUAAUCGGGCAUUUCUUUGCUAGCCAGACUGCACAGCGCAAGAUCAGGGAAAUUGUACAACAGGUGAAGCAGCAGGAGCAGAAAUAUCCUCAGGGAGUCGCCUCACAGCGCAGCAAGUGAGGCUCCCACAGGCACCAGCAAACAACGGAUGAAUGUAGCCCUUCCAACACCUGACAGAAUGAGACCAAACACAGCCAGCAGAUCGGGAGCAAACCAAAGACCAUCCUGAGGAAUGAGAAGUCUGCAGAGGCGGCCAGGGACUCUGCAGAGGCCCUGAGAAUUCUAGGGGCUAAGGAGGGGGCAGGGAAGGCAAAGCAGUGCUCUGAGUAUCACAUCACACAAAAGGAACAAAAGCGAAACACACAAACCAGCCUCAACUUACACUUGGUCACUCAAAAGAACAAGAGUCAAUGGUACUUGUCCUAGCAUUUUGGAAGAGGAAAACAGGAACCCAUCAAACCAACCAACCAAACAAAGGAAAAUUCCACAAUGAAAGAAUGUAUUUUGUCUUUGUACAUUUUGGUGUAUAAGCCAUCAAUAUUCAGCAAAAUUAUUUCUUUCUUUUAAAAAAAUGUGGAGGAAAAUAGCAAUUUACACAAGGUCGUUGGCCCAGGGCGUUAAAUUUACAGAUUUUUUUAACGAGAAAAAUACAAAAAAAAAAGCUACCUCAGGUGUUUUUUACCUCAGCACCUUGCUCUUGUGUUUCCCUUAGAGAUUUUGUAAAACUGAUAGUUGGAGCAUUUUUUUAUUUUUUUAAUAAAAAUGAGUUGGAAAAAAAAAAUAAGAUAUCAACAACUGCCAGCCUGGAGAAGGUGACAGUCCAAGUGUGCAACAGCUGUUCUGAAUUGUCUUCCGCUAGCCGAGAACCUAUAUGGCCUUCUUUUGGACAAACCUUGAAAAUGUUUAUUAAAAAGUAUAUAUAUGACAAAGAAAAACAGAGAGAGAAAAUAUUGGAGAUGUCCUGAUUUUCAUAGGGUACGCGCCAUUAGGGCUUUUUGUGCUAAAGGAUGAACAUGUACUGGUUUAUGUGAACAAGCCAUUAUACCACCAGACUGCAAUGCCAGUUUCCUCUACUGCAAACAGUGUUCUGUGACAAAAAACAAAAAAAACAAAAAAACAAAAAAAAAGAAAAGAAAAAAAAAGAAAUAUAUCCAGCUAACAAGAUCCUGGUGUCCUGGUCUCUUAUUUGACUAAACAUUGCCUUAUGCCAACGUGUCAGCUCAGUUCCAGCUCCAAGGGACUUGAAUACAGUGGGGCAGCAUGUAUGAGCGGGGUCCAGGAAGCUACUCUGAGGAGGCUUGCCUUUGUUCAGGAAGGCCUUUGGAAGAAACUAAACUAGAUCAGUGGUUUUCAAAGUGUCCCCAGACUGGCAGCCUCCAUUAUCAUCUAGGAAUUUGUUAGAGAUUCUUAGGGCCCACCUUGAAUCAAAAAUUCUGAGGUUGAGGCCCAACAUCUGUGUUUCAGCAAGCCCUCUAGGUGACUCUUGUGCAUUGUGCAUGCAGUGAAGUUU